CUCAGUGCUAUCGUGUCUCUGCUUCUUCGCUCCAGAGAGAUAGAAAGAGAGAGAGAGAGAGCGAGGAAAGUGGUGUUGUUCGUUACCAUUUACAACUCCGAUUCCAUCUUCCUUGCUACGACGUUCCUUUUGUCCUCCGAUUUGUGCUUGGGUUUGUCUUGAUUAGUGGUUGGGUUUCUCUUUUGCUAUAUUAAUUUUGCAUUGUGUUUGACUUCAGGAUAAUUGUGUUUUGAGUUGGUGAUCUGCUACAGGUAAAUCAAUCGUACCUGGGUUUAGAAGAUAAAUCAGGUGAUGGGUUUAUGCUUUGAUUGUUGCAUGUUCUUCAAUGUGAUCAAUUGAGGAAAGUUCAUGUUAUAAUUCUUUUUUUUUUUUUUUUUUUUUACCUUGGCUGAUUGCCACAAGCCUUGAUAGAUCUUGAAGAUUCAAGAGAAUCAGAUUAGGGAAGUUGAUGUAGGUGUUUCUGAUUUGUCAUCUAGAUGAUUAAUGAUUUCUGAUGCAAUUUUUGAGAUCUACAUGUUUCUACCUGAUCAAGGUUUGGCUUGGAUUUUGCUCUGGAUACCAAUAUAGUUGAUCAUCGCUAAAUUCACUAUACCUAUUCAAAUGUAAAAAACAGGAGUGAGGGGAGAUUCAAUCUUCAGCGUCAGAGAUCUUUGGAAUUCUAAUUGGGUGACUGAGUUGGUUUUGGGUAGGCGAAGAACUUGGGUCCAGCAAGAGUUUAAAACAGAACAGUAGCUUCAGUGUCGGGGCUCCAAAGUUUGAAGUGAAGGUGUUUAGUGUAGUUAUGGCUCCAAAGAUGAGGUGGACAAGAAGUAAGAGAUUGUUAGAGGAGUAUGAAGAUGAAAAUCAUAAUGCUGAAAGGGAAGUCCAAGAAAUAUCUAAUGACCAGAAUUUAAUAAAGAGGACUGAAGGUACAUAGAUUUUCAAAUUGCAAUAGCGUAUGGAAGGGCAAACAGUCCUUAUAGACCUUUAUGGCUGCAUCAAAGCAGUUGUACCACAUCAUGAGGUGUUUGUUAGAAGCAAAAACAAAAUGGAAACAAAAUGUGAAAUCACUUUGGAAAAUCUGAGUAGAGAAGAUGUGAAGAUAACUCUUUGGGGGGAUACUGCAAGAGAGUUCGAUCUGGAUGCAAUUUACAAUUUGCCUCCACCAGUACUAGCAGUAUUUACUAGCUUGAGGAUUGCUCUAUUUCAACGUAAUUAUAAAUUUGAAACAUUUAAUAAAAUUGUUACAAUUACUAUCUAUUUUAUAAUCAUUUUCUCUUCCAAUUUAUAGAACAACCAACUCCAUCGAGCACAAAUCACAGCUGCAGAAUCAUUGAUCCAGACAUUGGCCAAAGAGAAGACUACGAGGAAGACAACAUUUUUCCGGCUACACAAGUUUCCCUGCCAUCAACAGAAGAACCAGGAACUGCAACACCAGAUCGUUCCCUCACCAAAAAAAAAAAGAUCAAUUGAGGCAAGCAAAAGGACAUUAUUCAUUUCUGACCCAGAGAAGAAAAUCAGGAGGGAACCAGAACAAGGAAGCGCCACUUCAUCAUCACUGGCAAAAGAAGAACAUAACAAGGAAAACGAGCAGUAAACAUGCAUCACUCUUUUGUACAUAUGUAACUAACAAGUAGAAGCUGCAUUGACUACAAAUUUUGGUAUAACUGUAGUCAACUAAUCAACUGAAGCAUUUUGUACACUGGAAUAACCAAUUUUUGAAACAGCCUCCAGGAUAACCUUUUGUAAACAAACUUCAGUUGAUUCAGCAGCUAUUACUAAACCAAUCUUAUGUUUUGAAGAUACAAUGCAACUGCUGUUUUUGAAGAUGCAAUGCAGCUGCUGUGCUUAACAGUAACUGUCAGUUACUCCUGCUAGGUUAAUGAAUGACAAGUUUGUAGAACUAGCAUUUUUGUAUUAGGUAUGAUUCAAUGUAAACAAUGUAAAACUAAAUAUAUAUCAAUAAUAUGUUAUAAUCUUUCUUUUCA